UUCUGGGAGGAGUCAUUUGAUGGGUUUUGAGUGAAAUCCAAUCUUUAGAACUAUACAACACACCAACCACUCCAUUUCAGAAUGGACUUCGUAUGAACCUGAAUUGUCUAAUUUCAUGGGCCAAUCGAUAUCGGAUUGAGUCCAAAACUUGGGGAACAUCAUAAUGUUGUCUGAGGAGUCAUUUUGUGAGUUUUGAGUGAAUUCUAAUAGCUAAAACAAUGCAAUACACCAAC
rnacentral:lncRNA from 1 species